UUGACCUCGGAUCAGGUAGGAAUACCCGCUGAACUUAAGCAUAUCAAUAAGCGGAGGAAAAGAAACCAACAGGGAUUGCCCCAGUAACGGCGAGUGAAGCGGCAACAGCUAAAAUUUGAAAUCUGGCCCCUCCGGGUCCGAGUUGUAAUUUGUAGAGGAUGCUUUUGGUGAGGUGCCGCCCGAGUUCCCUGGAACGGGACGCCACAGAGGGUGAGAGCCCCGUCUGGCUGGCCACCGAGCCUCUGUAAAGCUCCUUCGACGAGUCGAGUAGUUUGGGAAUGCUGCUCAAAAUGGGAGGUAUAUGUCUUCUAAAGCUAAAUAUUGGCCAGAGACCGAUAGCGCACAAGUAGAGUGAUCGAAAGAUGAAAAGCACCUUGAAAAGAGGGUUAAACAGUACGUGAAAUUGUUGAAAGGGAAGCGCUUGUGACCAGACUUGGGCGCGGCGGAUCAUCCGGGGUUCUCUCCGGUGCACUUCGCCGCGUUCAGGCCAGCAUCAGUUCGUCGCGGGGGAAAAAGGCUUCGGGAACGUGGCUCCUCCGGGAGUGUUAUAGCCCGUUGCAUAAUACCCUGCGGUGGACUGAGGACCGCGCAUCUGCAAGGAUGCUGGCGUAAUGGUCACCAGCGACCCGUCUUAAACACGGACC
rnacentral:rRNA from 1 species